GGGUUUUGGUAGAUUACUUUUGCAACUUGUGCUUGUUGGGGCGCUAAUUGCACCGGCAACAGCUCAAGCGAAACCCGGCUGCCCAGACCGUUGUGGGAAUGUAAGCAUACCAUAUCCAUUUGGCACGCAAGGUUGUAGCCUAAACGAAGAUUUCCUUAUCAAUUGCACUAAAACCGAUUCUGAACCACCACAGCAACAAGCUUUCUUGAGGACUUCAAAUAUCGAGGUUACAAACAUAAGCAUCAAUGGCGAACUGCAAAUCAAAAGCUGGGCAUCCCAAAGUUGCCACAAUGCAUCGACCGGCGAAGAGGACCGGAUAAAAAGUUGGCUUACUUUGUCUCACUUCACUGUUUCCAGUUCGAAGAACAAGUUCACUGUUGUUGGUUGUGAUAGUUAUGCAUACCUCCGAGGCUUUCGACAAGGGAAGCUUUACAGGGCGGGAUGCAUGUCCACAUGCGACUCUCUCGAUUUUGUGUAUAACAAGUCUUGCGCAGGCAGUGGAUGUUGCCAGAUAGAGAUUCCUGAUGGAUUACACUCUGUAAAUGUCACAGCACGCAGUUUCAACAACCAUACAGGUAUCUUAGAUUUCAGUCCCUGCACCUAUGCCUUCAUCGCAGAAGAUGACAAAUUCAACUUCUCUUCUCAAUAUCUUAAAAAUAUUCCACAAGAUAAGUUUCCAGUUAUUCUUGAGUGGUCAAUUGAUAACACCACAAAUAAAGAAGCGAGCCGGAGAUUCAGCUCUGCGUGUGGGCAUAACGCCGCGAGUUACCAACCGGACAACGUUCCUGGAUAUCGCUGCAGAUGCGAGGAGGGUUAUGGUGGCAACCCAUAUCUUGGUUGCCAAGACAUCGACGAAUGCAAUAAAGGUCUACAUAACUGCUCACACCAAUGCAUCAACUUGGAUGGAAGUUAUAAAUGCACCUGCCCAAAGGGAUACACCGAGGACGGAAGAAACGACGGACAAAGAUGCACACCUCAUCACUUUCCAUAUAUUAUAUUAGCUCUAGGUGUUAGCAUAGGCUUUCUAGUCUUGCUUGUUGCCAUCUCCUGGAUCUUUUUGUUUAUAAGGCAAAGAAGGCUCAAAGAGCUUAAAGAGAAGUUCUUCCAAAAAAAUGGUGGCCUUAUCUUGCAACAGAAACUCUCUAUGCAACAUGAAAUCCCUGAUAUAUUUAAAAUUUUUACUGCUGAGGAGCUGAAAGAGGCUACCAAUAACUAUGAUGACAGCACCAUAGUUGGCAGAGGAGGCUUUGGAACCGUUUAUAAAGGAAUUUUAGCAGAUAACAGAGAAGUUGCCAUCAAGAAG
rnacentral:misc_RNA from 1 species